rnacentral:rRNA from 1 species
GACGAACGCUGGCGGCGUGCUUAACACAUGCAAGUCGAACGGAAAGGCCCUGCUUGCAGGGUACUCGAGUGGCGAACGGGUGAGUAACACGUGGGUGAUCUGCCCUGCACUUCGGGAUAAGCCUGGGAAACUGGGUCUAAUACCGGAUAGGAGCCAUUUUUAGUGUGAUGGUUGGAAAGUUUUUUCGGUGUAGGAUGAGCUCGCGGCCUAUCAGCUUGUUGGUGGGGUAAUGGCCUACCAAGGCGGCGACGGGUAGCCGGCCUGGGAGGGUGGCCGGCCACAUUGGGACUGGGAUACGGCCCAGACUCCUACGGGAGGCAGCAGUGGGGAAGAUUGCACAAUGGGCGCAAGCCUGAUGCAGCGACGCCGCGUGGGGGAUGACGGCCUUCGGGUUGUAAACUCCUUUCGCUAGGGACGAAGCUUUUUGUGACGGUACCUAGAUAAGAAGCACCGGCUAACUACGUG